rnacentral:lncRNA from 1 species
GUUCCCACUCUAGAUAUCCAUAGCUCCAAUCUGGGAGCUAGCUCCUAUUGGCUUACUCAUAUGGUCAACAUUUUUAAGAUAAGAAAGAUUCCUUUAGAAUAAGCCAGCCGCCAGGAGUGGGAAGAGGGCAAGAGUUCUCCUUGGGGAAUACAUUUGCUGAAUUUUUUUAAAUUGCCACAUUUCCUAUCUUUAGCAUUUGAAAAAUAUUGACUGUACUGAAAAGUUUUAAAUUUAUGGCAGGUUACUAGGGAUUUUUCAGCAUAGCCUGAUCCAAGUAUUCCCUUUGAAGUAGUGCCUAUAAUAUAGUGCACUUCACCAAAGAAGAGAAAAGAAAAACAGCCUGUCUCCUUGAGAACAAGAACAAACCGCUUGCAAACAUGAAUUGAAAGCCUACUUUCUGAGUAGAGAUACUAGUGACCAACAAAGCCAUAACCUACCUCCACCUCUCAUGCAACAGCAGUGGGAGACUCCAUGGGGCAACGACCUCUCUGCUGACUUCUCAGAAUCAUUAGCCUCUGGUCUAUCAACCUGCAGAUAAGAAAUCUCAAGAAAGGAAGAGUGAUUGGAACUCUAAAGGAAGGCAGGAAAAUGAAGGUCAGAAGGCAGACUCCACCGCCUCUCCUGCUGCCAGUUUGUUGUUUAAGAAAAUCAUCUGGGGAAGAAAAACGGAAGCCCAGAGAAAGUUCCUGUGUCCAACUGAAGGGCUGCUCCAUUCUACUCAAAGAAGCAUUUUGGUGAAGUCCAAUCACAAGAAACAACUCAUAGCAUGGUGAGUGCCAACGGGACAAAAAAUACUGGUUGACAAAAAAGCGAUAUGGUGAGCCUAUUGGUGCAGGAAAAAGAGUGAUAGUAAUUGAUGGACACAGAUGGAGGGGUGGACCUUGGUUAAGAGAGAGGUCACUUCCUUCCCAAUACUGAUAAGACAUACGAUGAAGAGAGGGGAAAGCUGUGUUUUAUCUUGUUUUGUUUUGUUUGCAUUUUGAGACUGAACACAUUUCAAUCUGGAUUUCUGUCUUCUGGGGACUGCUGAGUCUCCAGUUCACUCUCACACCUGGGGCAUAGGGGGCUCUACAUUUCUAUUAUGGUCCUUCGAGCUCUAGUUUAGUCAAAAUCUCUGCCUACCUCCUCAACUUCUCUGCUGCUUUCAAAUUUGCAAAUGCCUUGAAAGAAAAGUGAUGCCAAUGUGCUUUCAGCCCUCUCUUCUUUUCUUGGAUCUUGGGUGCACAAGUCCUGCUGUCUUGGUAGCUCUCAGAUAUCUUCAAAUGUUUUGGUGCUUAAGUUCUUUGCCUUGAUUCAGCUAUUUCAGUUGUUUUCAGAAAGAGGUUUAAUCAGAUACAGCUAGUCAGUUAAUUCAUGGAAGUCUAGCUGCAUUUUUCCCCAAUAUUACCUACAAUUCACUCCAUGUCCACAUAUCCAGAG